rnacentral:snRNA from 1 species
AGACAUGUAAAAAUGACCUAGCUGUGACAUCUGUCACCCCAUUGAUCAUUAGGAUUGAUUCAGCUGAUCUGGUGGUUAGGCGAGUGUUCCCCUUCCUCCCUCAUUAUUCCAUGUGCAUCCUUCUUGAUGUAAGAGAAGAAGAUGACCUUCCCCAAUAGAGGAAUACUAGUCUUUGGUCAAGGUUAUAUUUGUAGCUACACCCCCCUGCUGAAAACUCCAAUCAAGUUCUCUUGCAUGAUUCUAAAUCCUGUCAUGUUGGCAUUGAUAACAUACACA